rnacentral:snRNA from 1 species
AACCAAACAGAGCAUUGCACACUGAAAUCGGAACAAUGCAGAGAAGAUUAGCGUAGCCCAUGUGCAAGGAUCACAUACAAAACCGCUAAGCGCACCACAUUUUC